rnacentral:rRNA from 1 species
UCAGGAUGAACGCUGGCGGCGUGCCUAAUACAUGCAAGUCGAGCGAAUGGAUUGAGAGCUUGCUCUCAAGAAGUUAGCGGCGGACGGGUGAGUAACACGUGGGUAACCUGCCCAUAAGACUGGGAUAACUCCGGGAAACCGGGGCUAAUACCGGAUAACAUUUUGAACUGCAUGGUUCGAAAUUGAAAGGCGGCUUCGGCUGUCACUUAUGGAUGGACCCGCGUCGCAUUAGCUAGUUGGUGAGGUAACGGCUCACCAAGGCAACGAUGCGUAGCCGACCUGAGAGGGUGAUCGGCCACACUGGGACUGAGACACGGCCCAGACUCCUACGGGAGGCAGCAGUAGGGAAUCUUCCGCAAUGGACGAAAGUCUGACGGAGCAACGCCGCGUGAGUGAUGAAGGCUUUCGGGUCGUAAAACUCUGUUGUUAGGGAAGAACAAGUGC